AUUCGACCCAAAACGAAGACAUGUCAGUUUCUGAGGAAAAUGCCAAUAUCAGAGACCACCAUCGCCGGUUGCUGGCGGUGAAAUACGAGCUGAGACGAAAUCUAUACAAGGCCCUCUGCAAGGACCCAAGCCUUCCCAGCGACCUGCGCGAGGAGAACCGCUUCAAGCUCUCCAAGCUGCCCCGAAACAGCUCCUUCACGAGCGUCAGGAACCGCUGAAUCUUCUCAGGCCGCGCACGCGCCGUCUACGAGACCUUCCGUAUGUCCCGUAUCGUCUUUCGUACUCUGGCCUCUAAGGCCAUG
rnacentral:lncRNA from 1 species